CCUACGGGAGGCAGCAGUAAGGGAAUAUUGCACAAUGGACGGAAAGUCUGAUGCAGCGACGCCGCGUGGGUGAAGAAGGUUUUCGGAUCGUAAAGCCCUUUUCUAUGUGACGAGAGAGGACGGUAGCAUAGGAAUAAGUGUCGGCUAACUACGUGCCAGCAGCCGCGGUAAAACGUAGGGACGCGAACGUUAUCCGGAGUUACUGGGCGUAAAGCGCGCGUAGGCGGUUGGUUAAGUUACCUAUGAAAGAUACAGGCUAAACUUGUAUUGGUUAGGUGAAACUGGCUAACUAAGAAAAUAAGGGAAGUAGAAUUCCGGGUGUAGUGGUGAAAUGUGUAGAUAUCCGGAGGAAUACCGGUGGCGAAGGCGGCUUCCUGGAUUUCCACUGACGCUGAUGCGCGAAAGCGUGGGUAGCGAAACGGGAUUAGAAACCCCGGUAGUCCACGCCGUAAACGAUGUACAUUGGCGUUCGGUUACGCUAAGUAAUUGAGUGUCGCUAGCUAAACGCGAUAAAUGUACCGCCUGGGGGUACGGUCGCAGCUAAAACUCAAAGGAAUUGACGG
rnacentral:rRNA from 1 species